CUGCAGGGGUUUUCAUCCACAUUUUCCGACAUGUUGGAUUACAUCGAGACGAGAACCUCUACCAUUCGUGGAUGUAUUAAAAGAACCAUUAAGUCAAAAAGUUGUCCUGCAUGCUGCUCUGUGGUCAGUCCCACCGGGAAAGGUUUACUAAGGUUCUUCCAACCACAACCCUCUCUUGUUCGCUAGAGUUAUCCUAUGAAGUGUGGGUUCUGCGGUUUUCUGAGCUCAAGUCAAGAAGCUCUAUUGAGGCACCAUAGACUACGACACAGAAGAGGAUCUCACUGGCCCUGUAUCUACAGUGACUGUGUGUGUACCUUCAAAACACCUGGCGCGUUAAAAUCUCACCUUACCAGAUCACAUUGCAGGACUGUAAGAAGGCAGGUGACAUCGUCUUUUUUCUGUGAGUUAUGUGAAUUUAAAGAAACUUGUACUGAGCGCACUUUUUUCACUCAUCUGGGACAUCAUUUAAAAAAUCAACACACUGUGCAUUGCCCCUUCCUGCGGUGUGAGUUUAAAACUAACAAUCUUAAAACAUUCAGUUCACACAGAAGCAGAAAGCACAAGAAUGCAAAGGACAUUAGAACUUGUCUAAGAGUGCAUUCUGAAAAUGAAACCUGUGCCAUUGACACUCCUAUCGUUGACCAGCCAAUAGAUGACUUUGUUGAGGUAGAGGCAUCAGAAAGUGGUUCAAGUAACAACGGUGGGGAAGAAUAUGUAGAAGCUGAGACUCUUGAACAUAAAAUUGCAUCUCUUUUUCUGCGUAUGCAAUCAGUAUUGCAUGUCUC